rnacentral:rRNA from 1 species
AUUGAACGCUGGCGGCAUGCUUUACACAUGCAAGUCGAACGGUAACAGGCCGCAAGGUGCUGACAAGUGGCGAACGGGUGAGUAAUGCAUCGGAACGUGCCCAGUCGUGGGGGAUAACGCAGCGAAAGCUGCGCUAAUACCGCAUACGAUCUAUGGAUGAAAGCGGGGGACCGUAAGGCCUCGCGCGAUUGGAGCGGCCGAUGUCAGAUUAGGUAGUUGGUGGGGUAAAGGCUCACCAAGCCAACGAUCUGUAGCUGGUCUGAGAGGACGACCAGCCACACUGGGACUGAGACACGGCCCAGACUCCUACGGGAGGCAGCAGUGGGGAAUUUUGGACAAUGGGCGCAAGCCUGAUCCAGCAAUGCCGCGUGCAGGAAGAAGGCCUUCGGGUUGUAAACUGCUUUUGUACGGAACGAAACGGUCCUGGUUAAUACCUGGGGCUAAUGACGGUACCGUAAGAAUAAGCACCGGCUAACUACGUGCCAGCAGCCGCAGUAAUAC